AUUGAACGCUGGCGGCAGGCCUAACACAUGCAAGUCGAACGAGUGGCGGACGGGUGAGUAAUGUCUGGGAAACUGCCUGAUGGAGGGGGAUAACUACUGGAAACGGUAGCUAAUACCGCAUACCAUCGGAUGUGCACAGAUGGGAUUAGCUUGUUGGUGGGGUAACGGCCCACCAAGGCGACGAUCCCUAGCUGGUCUGAGAGGAUGACCAGCCCCACUGGAACUGAGACAUGGUCCAGACUCCUGCGGGAUGCAGCAGUAGGGAAUAUUGCACAAUGGGCGAAAGCCUGAUGCAGUCAUGACGCGUGUAUGAAGAAGGCCUACGGGUUUUAAAGUACUUUCAGCGGAUAGGCGUUACCCGCAGAAGAAGCACCGGCUAACUCCGUGCCAGCGGCCGCGGUAAUAC
rnacentral:rRNA from 1 species